rnacentral:rRNA from 1 species
GACGAACGCUGGCGGCGUGCUUAACACAUGCAAGUCGAACGGAAAGGCCCUGCUUUUGUGGGGGGCUCGAGUGGCGAACGGGUGAGUAACACGUGAGUAACCUGCCCUUGACUUUGGGAUAACUUCAGGAAACUGGGGCUAAUACCGGAUAGGAGCUCCUGCUGCAUGGUGGGGGUUGGAAAGUUUCGGCGGUUGGGGAUGGACUCGCGGCGUAUCAGCUUGUUGGUGGGGUGGUGGCUUACAAAGGCUUUGACGGGUAGCCGGCCUGAGAGGGUGACGGGCCACAUUGGGACUGAGAUACGGCCCAGACUCCUACGGGAGGCAGCAGUGGGGAAUAUUGCACAAUGGGCGGAAGCCGGAUGCAGCAACGCCGCGUGCGGGAUGACGGCCUUCGGGUUGUAAACCGCUUUCGCCUGUGACGAAGCGUGAGUGACGGUAAUGGGUAAAGAAGCACCGGCUAACUACGUG